UACGAAGGGGGCUAGCGUUGUUCGGAAUUACUGGGCGUAAAGGGCGCGUAGGCGGCCUGCUAAGUCGGACGUGAAAUCCCUCGGCUCAACCGGGGAACUGCGUCCGAUACUGGCGAGGCUCGAAUCCGGGGGAGGGAUGUGGAAUUCCAGGUGUAGCGGUGAAAUGCGUAGAUAUCUGGAGGAGCACCAGUGGCGAAGGCGGCAUCCUGGACCGGUAUUGACGCUGAGGCGCGAAAGCUAGGGUAGCAAACGGG
rnacentral:rRNA from 1 species